rnacentral:snRNA from 1 species
GAAAAGCCAGUGGCGCGAA